rnacentral:rRNA from 1 species
GACGAACGCUGGCGGCGUGCUUAACACAUGCAAGUCGAGCGGAAAGGCCCUGCUUUUGUGGGGUGCUCGAGUGGCAAACGGGUGAGUAACACGUGAGUAACCUGCCCUUGACUUUGGGAUAACUUCAGGAAACUGGGGCUAAUACCGGAUAGGAGCUCCUGCUGCAUGGUGGGGGUUGGAAAGUUUCGGCGGUUGGGGAUGGACUCGCGGCUUAUCAGCUUGUUGGUGGGGUAGUGGCUUACCAAGGCUUUGACGGGUAGCCGGCCUGAGAGGGUGACCGGCCACAUUGGGACUGAGAUACGGCCCAGACUCCUACGGGAGGCAGCAGUGGGGAAUAUUGCACAAUGGGCGGAAGCCUGAUGCAGCAACGCCGCGUGCGGGAUGACGGCCUUCGGGUUGUAAACCGCUUUCGCCUGUGACGAAGCGUGAGUGACGGUAAUGGGUAAAGAAGCACCGGCUAACUACGUG